rnacentral:rRNA from 1 species
UACAGAGGUCUCAAGCGUUGUUCGGAUUCAUUGGGCGUAAAGGGCGCGUAGGCGGCGGGGUAAGUCGGGUGUGAAAUCUCAGAGCUCAACUCUGAAACUGCACUCGAUACUGCUCUGCUUGAGGACUGGAGAGGGAGACUGGAAUUCACGGUGUAGCAGUGAAAUGCGUAGAUAUCGUGAGGAAGACCAGUGGCGAAGGCGGGUCUCUGGACAGUUCCUGACGCUGAGGCGCGAAGGCCAGGGGAGCAAAGCGGG